UACAGAGGUCCCGAGCGUUGUUCGGAUUCAUUGGGCGUAAAGGGUGCGUAGGCGGCGGGGCAAGUCUGAUGUGAAAUCCCGGGGCUCAACCCCGGAACUGCAUUGGAUACUGCCUUGCUAGAGUACUGGAGAGGGAACUGGAAUUUACGGUGUAGCAGUGAAAUGCGUAGAUAUGUGGAGGAACACCAGUGGCGAAGGCGACUCUCUGGGCUGUAACUGACGCUGAGGCGCGAAAGCGUGGGGAGCAAACAGG
rnacentral:rRNA from 1 species